AUGUUCGUAACCCUGCAGCAAUCUGACCAUUACCUUAACACUCAUCAGAAUGAACAUGAGACCCAGAUUCUCAAAGGCAUGCAAGAUUCUGGUAAAUUGAAUUCAGUGGUUUUUUUCUCAGGUUUCUCCAGCUGUUUAUCUGUCUUCUACUCAUUUCAGUUAAAUCAGGGUGAGGUGGGAAAAAGGGAAUUGUGGUUGCAUCAGGCUAGUCUGGUGGAGCCCCCCAGCCCCUCACAGCAGCUCUGCAAACCAGCUCCUUCUUGUUUACUCAGUGAUUGCUCCUGCCCUCAUUUUCCAGCGAGGAGGAAGGGAAAAGGAAAGGUAAUGUGACCUUUGGUAUUUUGAAAUAACAUGAUAAGUAUGCACAUCUUCAAAGGACAUGACUGUUGAAGAACAGCUGGGGAUGGUGGUGGGAACAGCCUCCCCCUGACAUUUCAGGCCUGGUGGAGGAACCAGAAGAACCUGCAGAGCCCGUGAGAAGCAGUGGGGAAAACUAGGAGCGGCCAGAACAGCCUCAUUGUCCCCUUUCAUUAUAUCUGAGAUUGACCUUUAUUACCUGCCUCUGGGCAUGGAAUGGGCUGAGCUGAAGCUCUUCAGAGGAGGUAGAACCCAAGCACCCAUGCAAAGCAUGGAAAAGGAGGAGGCAGGGUGAAGGAGAAAGCCAAAGGGAGAUUGCACUGAGUGCUGAUGUUCUCCCUUGAGGGCCCUGAAUAACCACUGUAGGAGCUGAGCACGCUUUUGAGCACUCAGCUUUCCAACAUCUGGGUAGAGCAGGAAGAGAUUAGUGCUCCUGCUCAUGUGAAGCAGGAAUGGUGAAGCAGAAGGCAUCUGAAUGCCCUUGAGGAUGCUGGUCAGAGAAAUUAAAUCCUAAUUAUCUGCCAGAAUCACUUCUUAAUGGAAAUUGAAGGUUUUUCAAACACAAGCUUUUCUGGAGGUGAAGGGAAGGGGAAAAUGAGACAAUCUGAAGGAACAAUUCUUAUUCUUGGAAAAAGGAAAUAAUGUUAUUUCUCGUUGCAUACAAAAUAAUUUUUAAACAGACUACUCAUAAAAGACAAAUCUACAGCAGAGAUAGAAUAAACAAAAAGCUGAAAGCA
rnacentral:lncRNA from 1 species